rnacentral:rRNA from 1 species
UACGUAGGUGGCAAGCGUUGUCCGGAUUUACUGGGCGUAAAGGGCGUGCAGGCGGCCAGGUAGGUCCGUUGUGAAAACUGGAGGCUUAACCUCCAGCUGUCGAUGGAAACCAUCUGGCUAGAGUCCGGAAGAGGAGAGUGGAAUUCCUGGUGUAGCGGUGAAAUGCGCAGAUAUCAGGAAGAACACCCGUGGCGAAGGCGGCUCUCUGGGACGGUACUGACGCUGAGACGCGAAAGCGUGGGGAGCGAACAGG